rnacentral:rRNA from 1 species
AUUGAACGCUGGCGGCAUGCCUUACACAUGCAAGUCGAACGGUAACAGGUCUUCGGAUGCUGACGAGUGGCGAACGGGUGAGUAAUACAUCGGAACGUGCCCGAGAGUGGGGGAUAACGAGGCGAAAGCUUUGCUAAUACCGCAUACGAUCUCAGGAUGAAAGCAGGGGACCGCAAGGCCUUGCGCUCACGGAGCGGCCGAUGGCAGAUUAGGUAGUUGGUGGGAUAAAAGCUUACCAAGCCGACGAUCUGUAGCUGGUCUGAGAGGACGACCAGCAACACUGGGACUGAGACACGGCCCAGACUCCUACGGGAGGCAGCAGUGGGGAAUUUUGGACAAUGGGCGCAAGCCUGAUCCAGCCAUGCCGCGUGCAGGAUGAAGGCCUUCGGGUUGUAAACUGCUUUUGUACGGAACGAAACGGUCCGGGUUAAUACCCUGGGCUAAUGACGGUACCGUAAGAAUAAGCACCGGCUAACUACGUGCCAGCAGCCGCUGUAACAC